GAUGAACGCUGGCGGCGUGCCUAAUACAUGCAAGUCGAGCGAACGGACGAGAAGCUUGCUUCUCCGAUGUUAGCGGCGGACGGGCGAGUAACACGUGGAUAACCUACCUAUAAGACUGGGAUAACUUCGGGAAACCGGAGCUAAUACCGGAUGAUAUUUUGAACCGCAUGGUUCAAAAGUGAAAGACGGUCUUGCUGUCACUUAUAGAUGGAUCCGCGCUGCAUUAGCUAGUUGGUAAGGUAACGGCUUACCAAGGCAACGAUGCAUAGCCGACCUGAGAGGGUGAUCGGCCACACUGGAACUGAGACACGGUCCAGACUCCUACGGGAGGCAGCAGUAGGGAAUCUUCCGCAAUGGGCGAAAGCCUGACGGAGCAACGCCGCGUGAGUGAUGAAGGUCUUCGGAUCGUAAAACUCUGUUAUUAGGGAAGAACAUAUGUGUAAGUAACUGUGCACAUCUUGACGGUACCUAAUCAGAAAUCCACGGCUAACUACGUGCCAGCAGCCGCGGUAAUACGUAGGUGGCAAGCGUUAUCCGGAAUUAUUGGGCGUAAAGCGCGCGUAGGCGGUUUUUUAAGUCUGAUGUGAAAGCCCACGGCGUCAACCGUGGAGGGUCAUUGGAAACUGGAAAACUUGAGUGCAGAAGAGGAAAGUGGAAUUCCAUGUGUAGCGGUGAAAUGCGCAGAGAUAUGGAGGAACACCAGUGGCGAAGGCGACUUUCUGGUCUGUAACUGACGCUGAUGUGCGAAAGCGUGGGGAUCAAACAGGAUUAGAUACCCUGGUAGUCCACGCCGUAAACGAUGAGUGCUAAGUGUUAGGGGGUUUCCGCCCCUUAGUGCUGCAGCUAACGCAUUAAGCACUCCGCCUGGGGAGUACGACCGCAAGGUUGAAACUCAAAGGAAUUGACGGGGACCCGCACAAGCGGUGGAGCAUGUGGUUUAAUUCGAAGCAACGCGAAGAACCUUACCAAAUCUUGACAUCCUUUGACAACUCUAGAGAUAGAGCCUUCCCCUUCGGGGGACAAAGUGACAGGUGGUGCAUGGUUGUCGUCAGCUCGUGUCGUGAGAUGUUGGGUUAAGUCCCGCAACGAGCGCAACCCUUAAGCUUAGUUGCCAUCAUUAAGUUGGGCACUCUAAGUUGACUGCCGGUGACAAACCGGAGGAAGGUGGGGAUGACGUCAAGUCAUCAUGCCCCUUAUGAUUUGGGCUACACACGUGCUACAAUGGACAAUACAAAGGGCAGCGAAACCGCGAGGUCAAGCAAAUCCCAUAAAGUUGUUCUCAGUUCGGAUUGUAGUCUGCAACUCGACUACAUGAAGCUGGAAUCGCUAGUAAUCGUAGAUCAGCAUGCUACGGUGAAUACGUUCCCGGGUCU
rnacentral:rRNA from 1 species